AGGAUUCUGAUGUCAGCAGUGUGUUUGGGCGACAGAAACCCCAUCACUGGAUUCACUGCACUGUAACCCUCUCCUCUUUCGAUUUGGGGUUAUUGCACCAUUUCGAUUUGGGGCUCCGUAACCCCCCUCCCUUUCUCUUUCUUCAAUGUCUAUUUCAGAUUCUCCCGUAGCAGAUGAUCCUUCGCUUCAAGACGACGAAGAUGACGACGAAGAGGAAGAAGAGGAAGAGGAGGAAGAAAUUGAAGAAGAAGUAGAAGAGGAAGAAGAGCAUGAAGAGGAACAGGAAGAAGAAGAAGAAAUUGAAGAACAACAACAACAACAAGAGGAAGAGGAGGAGGAGGAAGUAGAAGAAGUUGAAGAAGAAGAAGAGGAGGAGGAAGAAGAAGAAGAAGAAGAAGAAGAAGAGGAGGUGGAAGAAGAAGAAGAAGAGGUGGUGGAAGAAGAAGAAGAAGAGGUGGUGGAAGAAGAAGAAGAAGAGGAGGAGGAGGAGGAGGAGAAAGAAGAAGAGGUGGAAGAAGUUGAAGAGGAAGAGGAGGUGGAAGAAGUUGAAGAGGAAGAGGAGGAAGAAGUUGAUGAGGAGAAGGGAGAAGAAGUUGAAGAGGAGGAAGUAGAAACAAUAGAGGUAGAAGAGGAGGAGGAGGAAGAAGAAGUUGAAGAGGAGGAAGUAGAAACAGUAGAGGUAGAAGAGGAGGAGGAGGAAGAAGAAGUUGAAGAGGAGGAAGCAGAAACAGUAGAGGUAGAAGAGGAAGAGGAGGAGGAGGAGGAGGAAGAACAAGAAGAAGAAACUAUAGGGAUGGAAAAAGAGGAAAAAGAAGAAAUAGCAAUGGAAGAGGAGGAAGAAAAAGAAGAGGAAGCAAUAAAGGUUAAAGAGGAGGAAGAACAAGAAGAAGCGGAAGCUAUAAAGAUUAAAAAGGAGGAAGAACAAGAAGCAGUAGUAGAGGAGAAAGAGGUGGUUCCAGAUUCUCUUCUCGAUGCGGAUAUACUCAACAAAGACUUAAGCCAACAUAUGGAGUUUAAGGUGAAAGAAGAAAACAUGGGGCCAGUUUCUUCUGUGGCAGAAAACCCUGUAGUAAUGAAGUCAUCACAUUAUAUGGAAGAGAAUGAUGCCGUGUUUAAAGCAUCUGUUCCAUCGCAUGAGGCAAUAACAUUAAAAAAGGAGGAGUUCCACCUGAAACAAGAAAUUUCUAGUCCUCCAAAAUCAAGUGCAAACUUGAUUUCUGCUGAAGAUGGCAAAAAUCAAGGAUUAAAUGUUGACCUUGAUAACGCUAGAUCUCCUGUUCAGAGAAAAACCUUUGGAGGAGGCAGUGAACCAGAUUGCAAUAGCAAAGCUUCUUUAUCCGAUGUUAAGGACAUUGAUUCUAGGGCCACCAAGUCAUCCAGUGAUAUGGGAAAAGAUGUGGUUACUGGAGUCAUACAAAGAGAUAAUUUUGUUGAGGAUGCUGAUGGUGGUCCGAACUCCAAGAAGAAAAUUAUGCAGUCAGAGAUUGAGUCAAUUGUUGAUGUGAAACAAACAACAUCAAGGUUUGGUCAUGACUCAUGGAGGACAAGAGAUCUGUCUCCCAGUGCUGAUAUUAAAGAUGGAAACAAAAGACCGGCAAUUUUAUGUGAUUUUUUCGCUAAAGGUUGGUGCAUCAGAGGUAGUUCUUGUAGCUUUCUUCAUAUAAAAGAUAGUGUGAAUAAUAGUGACCAGGAGGCUGAAGGAGACUCAUUUACUGCACUUCAAAAGAGAGAAUUGAAAUUGGAAAAAGGUGUUAAGGAAAGACUUGACGGGUUGAGAACGAAUGAGGAAGAAGCAAGUCCAAGUUGGCACCCAUCUCAUGAAAAAGAGAAGUUUCUGAUGAGGGACAGCUUGUUUCCAGAGAGUAGAUCUGCAUUUAAUGCAUCAAACAAUUAUUUCACCUCAAAUCAUUCCUCAUAUUCAUCCCGUGCAGAGGGAAUGACUGCUAAUCGAAAUCAACAUAUGUACAGAGGAUUCUCAAAUGCUUUGUGUUCUCAAAAGCUUUUGAACAGUGAGAAGGAGUAUCACGCCCUUAAGUCCACUUUCUCUUCAGAGCGGGAAGAUUUGCCUCUAGUUGGUUCAUCUAGGGUUCCGCCACACUCUAAUGGAUAUAAAUUAAAAACUUGUUCUAAUAAUUGGGAACCUUCUGUUCCAUUUCGACCAUCCUUUUUUAUUACUUCCAUGAAUGUAUCAUCCCCCGGAGAUCUUUAUGACCCUCUUCGUGAUAGCAUUGAGAUACCUAAUAUUGGAGAUGGGUCUUUGAAAGCUUCCCUUCUAAUUCGAGGGUCAUCUAUCCAGGCUUCAUCACAGGCGAGGACAUGUGAUGAUUCUGCUGCAGUUGGGAAACACAUGUCUGAUCUUAAUGAUGACAAAAGUUCUGUAUCUUCCCAUAAUAAAUUUUAUGAAAAUGAACCUAACAGAAGUUCUGUUCCUCGUGGAAAAGAUUGUCUCUCAACUAAAACAGAGAUAACAUCAGGAACUUGUUCAAACUACCAAAAUGGUUAUGUAGAUGUGGGACAACAUACCUUUAGUGUUGAAGAUACGAUGGAAACAGAGAAAAAACGAACUGAGCAUGAUGCUAGGCAUCACGGUGAAGGAUCGGGGCACAAAAAGAGGAGAGUAUCAAAGGAUAAUAAAAUUUAUGAAAUGGAUGUUGACUUUCAAACAGAUGGCAGUGUGCAAAAAGAAACAAAGGCAGUUAAAAUUUUCCGGGCAGCUCUUGUUGAUCUAGUGAAGGAGUUGUUAAAACCAUUUUGGCAUGAGGGUCGUCUCAGCAAGGAUGCACAUAUAGUAAUUGUUAAAAAAUCAGUUGACAAGGUUGUUAGCACUUUAGAGGCACACCAGAUUCCGACCACCGAAGAUACCGCUAAGCAAUAUGUUUCUUCAUGUCGGUCGAAAAUUGCGAAGUUAGUCAAUGGAUAUGUCAGUAAAUAUGGGAAAUCUUGAUAUGCUAGCCCAAACACCUCCUUUUUGUACAGUUUCUGAUAAGUUUGGCUGACCCCAUUCUUGACAACUUCAGUCUGAGGCUAUCUGUUUCAAAGUCAAGUUUUUAGCCAUGGGAUUUGGCUUCCUAUCUUUAUGGAUGACAUAUUUCUGUAACUCUUCAACCCUGGACUAUGCUAAUAUAAGGAGAAACUCGGAACUUUAUUCAAUAAGUAACUGAUGCUGAAAUGAAGCGUGCCACUUGUACUCUUUUCAGACGCCACUUUAACUAGAAAGAGAAGAUUCCUUAUGACAUUUUCUGGUCUUGCAAGAAACAAUUGCAUAGAGGAUAAGUCUUGUAUCAAUAUAAUUUGAAGCUUUCUCUUUGAACAGUUUGUGCUUUAACAGCAUCUGGCUUAAUGGUUCGGCAUUCUUUGCAUGGUGAUAGAAAAGACUUCAUUUUCUGCCCAAACCCUGUCCUUGCCGUGGUGCUUUGCUUGUUUUAAUGGUCUUGAGGAACCGGGUGGAUUUGGGAUCAACGACGGAGUUGUUUGAAAUGCAAAUGCCUGUGGUUGAAGUUGACCAUUGGAAAUAAGUUGAUCAGCAGGUGUAAGCUUGAUUAGAUUGACAACAGAAUUCAAGUUUGCUUUACUGUUUGUAAAUUCGAAUUCCGGGUCAUGUUUGUUUACCUGGUAGUGUUUAGCAUGGUUAGGAGGUGAAGGAAACUUUGGUUGUUGGUCUUGAAUAGAAACAAGGCCACUAAAAGAGAGUGAAUCCAUUGAAAUGCUA